rnacentral:rRNA from 1 species
UUUUAUUUUUUAUUUAAAUAAUUAACGACCUCAGAGUAGGUGAGACUACCCCCUAAAUUUAAGCAU